UGUCCCCAAAGUGUCCCUGAGGCGUCCCCGGAGUGUCCCCAAAGUGUCCCCUCAGUGUCCCCUCAGUGCCCCCUCAGUGUCCCCUCGGUGUCCCCUCGGUGUCCCCGCGGUGUCCCCAAAGUGUCCCCUCAGUGACCCCAAGCUGUCCCCCAAGUGCCCCCUCAGUGUCCCCUCAGUGUCCCCGCGGUGUCCCCUCGGUGUCCCCUCGGUGUCCCCGCGGUGUCCCCUCAGUGUCCCCUCAGUGGCCCCAAGCUGUCCCCUCAGUGUCCCCUCGGUGUCCCCUCGGUGUCCCCGACACCCACCAGCACGGCCAGCCGCCGGUACGCCCGCCGCAGUUCGUCGUCGCUGGCCGUGGGCUCCACCCCGAGCACCCGGAACGGAUCCAGCUCCUCCUCGGCCACCUCGGCCAUGGCCACCAAACGCGUCACCUCCUGCUGGCCGCCGCCUCCGGCCACACCGGCGCGGCCCAGCAGCUCCCGGGAGCGGCGGAGCCCCGAGGCGGCGGCGCGGAGGAAGGAGCGGAGCCCCCCGAGGAGGAGGAGGAGGAGCAGCGCCCCGAGAGCCCCGAGCAGGCGCCGGCACAGCGCGACCCCCGCCCGGGCCGCCCGCACGGACCCCCGGUGGUCCCUGCCGGUGUCGUCGCGGCGCUGUCGCGGUCGCCGCCGGGCGUCGCCGGUGUCCUCCGGGGGGGCCCGGUGGCGGCAGCCGAGGCCGCACGGGAGGUCCCGGGAGGGGCUCGGGGGAGAGGAUGGGGGGCCCCGGCAGCCGCAGCGACCCCCGGGGAGGGGGACACUGCCGGGACCGGGGACACUGCCGGGACCGGGGACACCCUCAGACUUGGGGACACUGCCGGUACCGGGAACACUCCCGGUGUUGGGGACACUCCCAGCACCGGGGACACUCCCAGAACCGGGGACACUCCCGGUACCGGGAACACCCUCAGACUUGGGGACAUUCCGGGUACCAGGGACAUCCUCAGACUUGGGGACACUCCCGGUACCGGGAGCACUCCCGGUGUUGGGGACACCCUCAGACUUGGGGACAUUCCGGGUACCAGGGACAUCCUCAGACUUGGGGACACUCCCGGUGUUGGGGACACCCUCAGACUUGGGGACACUCCCAGGACCGGGAACACUCCCGGGACCGCGGACGCCACCGGAGCCGGUGACAGGAGGGUCGCGCUCGCCGCUCUCGUCGCCGCCGCCGCCCGCCGUGCCGGUGGCAGUGCCGGUGCCGGUGGCAGUGCCGGUGCCGGUGGCUGUGCCGGUGCCGGUACCGGUGGCAGUGCCGGUGUCGGUGCCGGUGGCUGUGCCGGUACCGGUGGCCGUGCCGGUGCCGGUGCCGAGGUGGCCGCAGCUCCCGUUCCAGGCGGCGCUGGAGCCCCCCCCGGGCCCGCUGCCCCCGGGGCCGCCCCCGGCCGCCUCCCGGUACCGGGGCCGCUCCAUCGAGCCGGGGUUAGGUCACGGCCAUCCCUGGGACAGGGAGGGGACAGCGGCGUCAGCGCCCCCGGUACGGCCACGGGACCCCCGAACCGAGCCCGGGACCCCCAGAACGGCCCCGGGACCCCCGGAACGGACCCGGGACCCCCGGAACGGACCCGGGACCCCCGAACCGAGCCCGGGAACCCCGAACCGAGCCCGGGACCCC
ensembl:lncRNA